rnacentral:rRNA from 1 species
UACGGAGGGGACUAGCGUUGUUCGGAAUUACUGGGCGUAAAGCGCACGUAGGCGGAUUUGUAAGUCAGGGGUGAAAUCCCGGGGCUCAACCUCGGAACUGCCUUUGAUACUGCAAAUCUCGAGUCCGGAAGAGGUGAGUGGAAUUCCUAGUGUAGAGGUGAAAUUCGUAGAUAUUGGGAAGAACACCAGUGGCGAAGGCGGCUCACUGGCCCGUAACUGACGCUGAGGUGCGAAAGCGUGGGGAGCAAACAGG